GCCACGCCCGCUCAGAAACUACAAAGGAAGUUGACGGGGCCCGCACAAGCGGUGGAGCAUGUGGUUUAAUUUCGAUGAUACGCGAGGAACCUUACCUGGGCUCAAAUGUAUGUUGACGUAUUCUGAAAGGGAUACUUCUUCGGACAAUAUACAAGGUGCUGCAUGGUUGUCGUCAGCUCGUGCCGUGAGGUGUCGGGUUAAGUCCCAUAACGAGCGCAACCCUUGCCUUUAGUUGCCAGCAGUUCGGCUGGGCACUCUAAAGGGACUGCCGGUGUUAAACCGGAGGAAGGUGGGGAUGACGUCAAGUCCUCAUGGCCUUUAUGACCAGGGCUACACACGUACUACAAUGGCCGAUACAAAGGGCAGCGACACUGCGAGGUGAAGCCAAUCCCGUAAAAUCGGUCUCAGUCCGGAUUGGAGUCUGCAACUCGACUCCAUGAAGUUGGAAUCGCUAGUAAUCGUGGAUCAGCAUGCCACGGUGAAUACGUUCCCGGGCCUU
rnacentral:rRNA from 1 species